rnacentral:rRNA from 1 species
UGCGAACUCCUACGGGAGGCAGCAGUGGGGAAUAUUGGACAAUGGGGGAAACCCUGAUCCAGCGACGCCGCGUGAGUGAAGAAGUAUUUCGGUAUGUAAAGCUCUAUCAGCAGGGAAGAAAAUGACGGUACCUGACUAAGAAGCCCCGGCUAACUACGUGCCAGCAGCCGCGGUAAUACGUAGGGGGCAAGCGUUAUCCGGAUUUACUGGGUGUAAAGGGAGCGCAGACGGCAAUGCAAGUCUGAAGUGAAAGGCGUGGGCUCAACCCAUGAACUGCUUUGGAAACUGUAUAGCUUGAGUGUCGGAGGGGUAAGCGGAAUUCCUAGUGUAGCGGUGAAAUGCGUAGAUAUUAGGAGGAACACCGGAGGCGAAGGCGGCUUACUGGACGACAACUGACGUUGAGGCUCGAAGGCGUGGGGAGCAAACAGGAUUAGAUACCCUUGUAGUCCU